AGCCAUUAAAGGUCAGCCAAUAAAGGUCAGCCAAUAAAGGUCAGCCAUUAAAGGUCAGCCAAUAAAGGUCAGCCAAUAAAGGUCAGCCAUUAAAGGUCAGCCAUUAAAAGUCAGCCAAUAAAGGUCAGCCAAUAAAGGUCAGCCAUUAAAGGUCAGCCAUUAAAGGUCAGCCAAUAAAGGUCAGCCAAUAAAGGUCAGCCAUUAAAGGUCAGCCAUUAAAGGUCAGCCAAUAAAGGUCAGGGUCAGCCAUUAAAGGUCAGCCAUUAAAGGUCAGCCAUUCAAGGUCAGCCAAUGACUAAAUAGGAAAUAUGGUGGCAUUUGGAACUCAUACCCUAAAGUACAUGAACUAGCCGAUACAGUAUAUAUGAACAUUUAGAGAGAGAGAGAGAGAGACAGAGAGAGAGAGAGACAGAGAGAGCGAGAGAGAGAGACAGAGAGAGAGAGAGAGAGAGAGAGAGACAGAGAGAGAGAGAGAGAGAGACAGAGAGAGAGAGAGAGAGAGAGAGAGACAGAGAGAGA
rnacentral:lncRNA from 1 species